rnacentral:rRNA from 1 species
GUUAUAUAGUCAAGUGAUUAAGCGUACACGGUGGAUGCCUUGGCAGCCAGAGGCGAUGAAGGACGUUGUAGCUUGCGAUAAGCUUCGGGGAGGUAGCAAACAACCUUUGAUCCGGAGAUUUCCGAAUGGGGAAACCCACCUGUCAUAAGGCAGGUAUCGCAUACUGAAUACAUAGGUAUGCGAGGCGAACGCGGGGAACUGAAACAUCUAAGUACCCGUAGGAACAGAAAUCAAUUGAGAUUCCGUCAGUAGCGGCGAGCGAACGCGGAUUAGCCCUUAAGUCUGUGAAAGAUUAGGAGAACGGUCUGGGAAGGCCGGCCAUAGUGGGUGAUAGCCCCGUAUCCGAAAAUCUGAUCAGGUGAAAUCGAGUAGGUCGGAGCACGUGAAACU